rnacentral:rRNA from 1 species
GAAUUGACGGGGCCGCACAAGCGGAGGAGCAUGUGGUUUAAUUCGAUGAUACGCGAGGAACCUUACCUGGGCUCGAACGUAAGAUGACUGUAGGUGAAAGCUUACAUCUCUUCGGAGCAUUUUACGAGGUGCUGCAUGGUUGUCGUCAGCUCGUGCCGUGAGGUGUCGGGUUAAGUCCCAUAACGAGCGCAACCCCUACCUUUAGUUGCCAUCAGGUUAAGCUGGGGACUCUAAAGGAACUGCCUACGCAAGUAGUGAGGAAGGCGGGGAUGACGUCAAAUCAGCACGGCCCUUACGUCCAGGGCUACACACGUGCUACAAUGGCCGAUACAGAGGGCAGCUACCUGGUGACAGGAUGCAAAUCUCCAAAGUCGGUCUCAGUUCGGAUCGGAGUCUGCAACCCGACUCCGUGAAGUUGGAUUCGCUAGUAAUCGCGCAUCAGCCAUGGCGCGGUGAAUACGUUCCCGGGCCUU